rnacentral:rRNA from 1 species
GAUGAACGCUGGCGGCGUGCCUAAUACAUGCAAGUCGAGCGAACAGACGAGGAGCUUGCUCCUCUGACGUUAGCGGCGGACGGGUGAGUAACACGUGGAUAACCGACCUAUAAGACUGGGAUAACUUCGGGAAACCGGAGCUAAUACCGGAUAAUAUAUUGAACCGCAUGGUUCAAUAGUGAAAGACGGUUUUGCUGUCACUUAUAGAUGGAUCCGCGCCGCAUUAGCUAGUUGGUAAGGUAACGGCUUACCAAGGCAACGAUGCGUAGCCGACCUGAGAGGGUGAUCGGCCACACUGGAACUGAGACACGGUCCGGACUCCUACGGGAGGCAGCAGUAGGGAAUCUUCCGCAAUGGGCGAAAGCCUGACGGAGCAACGCCGCGUGAGUGAUGAAGGUCUUCGGAUCGUAAAACUCUGUUAUUAGGGAAGAACAAAUGUGUAAGUAACUAUGCACGUCUUGACGGUACCUAAUCAGAAAGCCACGGCUAACUACGUG